rnacentral:rRNA from 1 species
ACGAACGCUGGCGGCGUGCUUAACACAUGCAAGUCGCACGGUGAAGCGCCUUCCUUUUUGGUGGGUGUGGAUGAGUGGCGAACGGGUGAGUAACACGUGAGUAACCUGCCCCCUUCUUCUGGAUAACCGCAUGAAAGUGUGGCUAAUACGGGAUAUUCUGGGUCUGUCGCAUGAUGGGUCUGGGAAAGAUAUUGUUUCGGUGGGGGAUGGGCUCGCGGCCUAUCAGCUUGUUGGUGGGGUGAUGGCCUACCAAGGCGGUGACGGGUAGCCGGCCUGAGAGGGUGGACGGUCACGCUGGGACGGAGACACGGCACAGACUCCUACGGGAGGAAGCAGUGUGCAAUAUUGCAGCAUGGGCGAAAGGCUGAUGCAGCUGGCCCGGGUGAGGGACGGAGGCCGUGGGGUUGCGAACCUCGUUGGCCAGUGAAGCAGGCCUGCCUCGUUUGUGGGUGGGUUGACGGUAGCUGGAGAAGAAGCGCCGGCUAACUACGUG